GACGAACGCUGGCGGCGUGCCUAAUACAUGCAAGUCGAGCGGAGUUAGAGAAGCUUGCUUCUCUAACUUAGCGGCGGACGGGUGAGUAACACGUGGGCAGUCUGCCCGUAAGACUGGGAUAACUCCGGGAAACCGGGGCUAAUACCGGAUAAUCCUGACUCUCUCCUGAGAGUCAGUUGAAAGAUGGUUUCGGCUAUCACUUACGGAUGAGCCCGCGGCGCAUUAGCUAGUUGGUAGGGUAAUGGCCUACCAAGGCGACGAUGCGUAGUCGACCUGAGAGGGUGAUCGGCCACACUGGGACUGAGACACGGCCCAGACUCCUACGGGAGGCAGCAGUAGGGAAUCUUCCGCAAUGGACGAAAGUCUGACGGAGCAACGCCGCGUGAGUGAAGAAGGUUUUCGGAUCGUAAAACUCUGUUGUUAGGGAAGAACACGUACGAGAGUAACUGCUCGUACCUUGACGGUACCUAACCAGAAAGCCACGGCUAACUACGUG
rnacentral:rRNA from 1 species